UAUUGUAUUAUAUUGCAUGCACACCCCUGAUCUCGUCUGAUCUUGGAAGCUAAGCAUGGUCGGGCCUGGUAAGGACAUGGAUGGGAGACCGCCCGGGAAUACCAAGUGGAUUUAGUGU
rnacentral:rRNA from 10 species